rnacentral:lncRNA from 1 species
AACACAAAGAAAAGAACAUUAAUUGAUUUGAUAAAUAAAUAAAGGAGGGGAACAAAACCUUAUUAUUUUCUUAUUCUUGUCUUAUUAUAAUUUGAAAGGAAUACAAAUGCAUCAAUUAAGAAAUCAAGCUCCUUUCUUUCCAUCCCUCCCAUCUAAUGCUAAUAUAUAUGUAUAUAUUACACUCUGAUCAUCAUUUUGGAAUCUACGCCGUGUAUGGAGCUGGCAUGGGCAUACCCUUGACAAUACCACAAAGAGGUUGGUUGUCUGGGAGGUUGUACUCAUCCCUCAAGGAGCGCGACGGGGAGAGAACACUAAAAUAUAGUUGUUGUCCUAAGUAGAAUCUCUCCCACAUUUCUGAUCGCAAGUUCCACAUUCCUGCAUUGUCCAAAGUUGUCAUCACGGCUGCCCACGAGUUUGGAUAGACUUGAAUGCUGUGCCUGCUUACUGCGUCUACUAAGUUGUAGUUCUUCCUCUUCUCAGGACUCCACCUCCCAGGCUCGAUACCCACGGCAAAGAAGGAAUACCCAUCUACAUGAUAGGUCUGGAUAGUCUUUUCUUGGUUCUCAAAGAUAAUCUCCACGAAAUUACGGAAGGUAGCAUUCUUCACAUUCGGGGAAAUUGUCACUUUGCUCAAGUCAGAUGGAGGCUCAUCAGCCAUCAGAUCGUACUUAAAGGUCUUUUCAGGAACUCCGAAAAACUCAACAAGCUUCAAUGGGGUGUCAGUAUCCAUAUGGGAGAUACCAUUCAAGGCGAAUCGAAGCUUGCCAGCUACUUGACUCCUAGAACUGACGAUCUUCAUGGUGCGAGUGAUGUUGAUUUUUCCGUAAUGGUAGGAUCCCUGAGGGUUAGGACGGGCAGCGCUAGCGGUGAGGUUCCAUCUAAAUGAGCGGAAUUGGUUCAUGGACCAGGCAAUACCUUCAGUGUUAUCUGGUGGGGGUGCUGGGAGAUCAGAUGAUGCUGGUCCCUUACCGUUAGCAUAACGAAGGAUGGCUAGAGAGGAGAGCUCCUGCUUCAGAAAUCUGCUAGAAACAACCAUGUAAUAGUCUUUGGGCUCUUGAUCAGCAGUGACCAAGACCGAAAGACACUGACCAACAUGAAUGUCAAGUGAGUCAUAGACAUUCUGCACCGUAUGUGAUCCCUCCAUCUCAACCAACUUCAUGGUGUGGCCUUGGAUCCUGACAUUGACUGAGGUCCUCAUGCCAACGUUACACAUCCUGUAUCUAUAAGUCUUGCCAGCCUCCAUGGUGAAGAGUGCCUCUGUUGCCUUGUCACCAACUUUGCUGGACUUUCCAUUAAUGUGAAUGCCAUCAGGCCUACCAAUGGUGCGUCCGCCGUCCAAGAUCUUUUUCAAGGUCUUGUGUCCCUUAUUGUACCAAUCGCCCAAAAAGACAUGGUACUCUUCGGCGGGGUUGUCAAAAGGAAUAGGGAUAAGGUUACGACUAUGAACAUCGAGGGCACCAAAUCCACCAGCUGCACGAUGUAAGCCUGUUGUCGGGAAGUAGAAAAAGCUACCGAUUUGAUCCUUUACCUGGAAAUGAUAGGUGAAGUUUGUACCAGGCAUGAUAGGACACAUGGUUCCUGGGGUACCAUCUUGCCACGAGUUCUUCCUUUGUUGGAUACCACUCCAGGUAAGGAGCAACGGCUCAUCCAGGUAAUUGUAGACAUU